GAUGAACGCUGGCGGCGUGCCUAAUACAUGCAAGUCGAACGAACAGACGAGGAGCUUGCUCCACUGACGUUAGCGGCGGACGGGUGAGUAACACGUGGAUAACCUACCUAUAAGACUGAGAUAACUUCGGGAAACCGGAGCUCAUACCGGAUAAUCUAUUGACCCGCAUGGUUCAAUAGUGAAAGACGGGUUUGCUGUCACUUAUAGAUGGAUCCGCGCCGCAUUAGCUAGUUGGUAAGGUAACGGCUUACCAAGGCAACGAUGCGUAGCCGACCUGAGAGGGGGAUCGGCGACACUGGAGGUGAGACACGGUCCAGACUCCUACGGGCGGCAGCAGUAGGGAAUCGUGGGCAAUGGGCGAAAGCCUGACGGAGCAACGCCGCGCGAGUGAUGAAGGGCUUCGGAUCGUAAAACUCUGUUAUUAGGGAAGAACAAAUGUGUAAGUAACUAUGCACGUCUUGACGGUACCUAAUCAGAAAGCCACGGCUAACUACGUG
rnacentral:rRNA from 1 species